rnacentral:tRNA from 1 species
GAGGGUAUAUCUCAAGUGGUAGAGCGCAUGCUUAGCACGCAUGAGGUCCUGGGUUCAAUCCCCAGUACCUCCU